CCUACGGGAGACAGCAGUGAGGAAUAUUGGUCAAUGGCCGCAAGCCUGAACCAGCCAAGUCGCGUGAAGGAUGAAUGUCCUAAGCAUUGUAAACUUCUUUUAUCAAGGGAUAAAGUCAGGCUCGUGUGCCUUAUCGUGUGUACUUUAUGAAUAAGGAUCGGCUAACUCCGUGCCAGCAGCCGCGGUAAUACGGAGGAUGCGAGCGUUAUCCGGAUUUAUUGGGUUUAAAGGGAGCGUAGAUGGGUUGUUAAGUCAGUGGUGAAAGGUUGCGGCUCAACCGUGAGAUGGCCAUUGAUACUGGCAGUCUUGAGUACAGUUGAGGUAGGCGGAAUGCGCGGUGUAGCGGUGAAAUGCUUAGAUAUUACGAAGAACUCCGAUUGCGAAGGCAGCAUACUAA
rnacentral:rRNA from 1 species